rnacentral:rRNA from 1 species
UAGGGAAUCUUCCACAAUGGACGCAAGUCUGAUGGAGCAACGCCGCGUGAGUGAAGAAGGUUUUCGGAUCGUAAAGCUCUGUUGUUGGUGAAGAAGGAUAGAGGUAGUAACUGGCCUUUAUUUGACGGUAAUCAACCAGAAAGUCACGGCUAACUACGUGCCAGCAGCCGCGGUAAUACGUAGGUGGCAAGCGUUGUCCGGAUUUAUUGGGCGUAAAGCGAGCGCAGGCGGAAGAAUAAGUCUGAUGUGAAAGCCCUCGGCUUAACCGAGGAACUCCAUCGGAAACUGUUUUUCUUGAGUGCAGAAGAGGAGAGUGGAAUUCCAUGUGUAGCGGUGGAAUGCGUAGAUAUAUGGAAGAACACCAGUGGCGAAGGCGACUCUCUGGUCUGCAACUGACGCUGAGGCUCGAAAGCAUGGGUAGCGAACAGG